rnacentral:rRNA from 1 species
CCUACGGGCGGCUGCAGUGGGGAAUUUUGGACAAUGGGGGCAACCCUGAUCCAGCCAUGCCGCGUGUCUGAAGAAGGCCUUCGGGUUGUAAAGGACUUUUGUUAGGGAAGAAAAGGGAAGUGCUAAUACCACUUUUUGCUGACGGUACCUAAAGAAUAAGCACCGGCUAACUACGUGCCAGCAGCCGCGGUAAUACGUAGGGUGCGAGCGUUAAUCGGAAUUACUGGGCGUAAAGCGAGCGCAGACGGUUACUUAAGCAGGAUGUGAAAUCCCCGGGCUCAACCUGGGAACUGCGUUCUGAACUGGGUAGCUAGAGUAUGUCAGAGGGGGGUAGAAUUCCACGUGUAGCAGUGAAAUGCGUAGAGAUGUGGAGGAAUACCGAUGGCGAAGGCAGCCCCCUGGGAUAAUACUGACGUUCAUGCUCGAAAGCGUGGGUAGCAAACAGGAUUAGAUACCCGGGUAGUC